AAUUUGUGUCCUAUGCCUGUCCCAUCAGUGUACUUUGGGAGCAGAUAAUUUGUGAGCCACCGCGCCCAGCCCAUUAGCUCCUACGUUUAACUCACUGUUGGUGAUCUUCCACUUCCUCCUACUGUUACCUUUGCAAGGAGUGUUUUGUUGUUGUUGUUGUUGUUUUUGACUUGGCAGGUGACAGUCCAAUGGCUACAACCAAGGAGUAUUUAACAAAGAAAAUUGAUUACUUGGAACAAGUAAACAGGACAGCUGGAAUAAAUCCCCACAUCAAUGCCUCCCUGAACAGGUGAAAACUGGCCUUUCAUUAGGUUUGUUAGCUGAGUCAUUGUAUCUAGAGGUGGGGUCAAAGCAGCACAGAUGCCGUCAUCAGUUGUUCCUCUAUAUAAGCCACAGGUGUGGAUAAUAGUGACUAAGCUCUUCCCUGGGUGGGGCUUUUAGUGUGGUAAUGAGGAGAGCUUGCCAAAGUUCAUCUUCAAUUCAGGCAUCUUUGGAUCCAACUAGUUUUUAUUUUAUUUAUUCAGGGCUGAGAUUCUUCCUGUAACUUUUCUAAAACAUCAAGAACUGGAGGUGCAACAGUUACAAUCCCCACAGUUCUCUUCUUCCGUGACAAGACCAAAGAACCUGGAUGAUGCUAAUCUAGAAGGACAUUCACAGCUCAUGAAAGAAUCAUCACUGCUAAUCAAAUCAGAGAGAAAACCCACCACUCUGCACCACUGGAGACAUUUCAUGUACUGAAUAUUUCAUAAGAUGGGGGCUGUAACUGAAGCAGAAAUUCUCAACAGCUUCAGGUUGCGUGCAAAUAUUUACUUAAACAUUCCAGCACAGUCCAACUGGUGUGCAGCACCAGCACCAGUGAGCCUGGAGUGAUCUUUAUAAAUUAUGGUAAUUAUAUGUGACAUGAUUCUUGCUAGGUCACAGGAGCUUGCCUUGGUCUUUCCCGCUUUGCCAGUAGUUCCCCUACUUGAAUGAUUAAGUGGGCAGGAUGCCACAGGAAACCGGAUGCAAGCACAAUGACAAAUGUCUGCUUUGACUGCUUAAAAUUGAGCCCAAUUGUUGAUCUGCAGAAACAACAAAACACAAUCAAGGACUGACACCAAGCCCCUGAGUCAGGAGAAUUGAAGAAUUGGUGUAGGGAUACGACUUGAAAGUCUUGGAAAAGGCUGCGUCAGUUUGUCAAAAUUUGCACCACCACUUUUCAUUACAUUUACACACAGUGCCCUGCUAUAGUUUUCUUUACAUUUAAAGAACAUUUUGGCAUCUACCAUCAUACAGAAUAAAAAUGUCAACGAUUCAAAGAAAACAAAAUAAUCAUUUUUAUUGUUUUCAAAGAUGAUUCUUGCAGUCUCCUGAUGAGUACUAGGAAUUUUUGGUGUAAAUAAAGAUUAAAAUAUCAAGAAUUAAGUAAGAAUAAGCUUAAGUAAUGAAAUUGCUUGGUUAAGUAAUGUAGGACAGUUGUAAAAGUUUGAUCAUAAGAAAUUCAUUUGCAGGAAUAGUGACCAAUAAGUCUAUACUUUAUGGUUAAACUUUGACAGUGAACUAUAUACUUCUUGAUAUCUUCUUAUAUUUCAUUAUUUUCUUUUUGAGAUGAUCGUGGUGAUUUCCUCUACUCUCAGAUUAUCCAGCUAAAGUUAUCUACAAGUUUUUUUUAACUGUUUAUACAUAUUAAGUGGAGUUUUUUUUUUUUUUUUUUUUUUUUUUUUUGAGGCAGAAUUUCACUCUGUCACCAGGCUGGAGUGCAAUGGUGUGAUCUCGGCUCACUGCAACCUCUGCCUCCCAGGUUCAAGUGAUUCUCCUGCUUCAGCCUCCUGAGUAGCUGGGACUACAGGUGCACGACACUAUGCCCAGCUGGUUUUCGUAUUUUUAGUAGAGACGAGAUUUCACCAUGUUGGCCAGGAUAGUCUCAAUCUCUUGACCUCAUAAUCUGCCUGCCUUGGCCUCCAAAAGUGCUGGGAUUACAGACGUGAACCACCGCGCCCGGCCAAGUGGAGUUUCUUUUAACAUUUGUAUACAUCUUAAUGUCUUGGAAUUUAAGUGCUCUUUUUUGGAGUCCAGCCUAGAAAUAGGCUUCCAAGUAUUAGUUAGAAGAAGGACUGAUGAGUCAAUGGUAAAAAGGAAGGAAAAUAAUAUAGCAAAUGGUUUACUUCCUUAAAAAUCAGGGGUAUAACAAAUAGGGCAAGAUAAUAGAGUGUUUGAUAUAUAAGCAAAAUUAAAAUUUUAUUUAAUGUUGCUAUAUAUAAAAUACCCACAAAUAUAUAAGUGAAAACGUUAGUAAUUCUCAAUACUGGUAUUUAUUCAAUUGAUUAGAAUGAUAGUAGAAACUAAAGAGAUAGCAAUAACAUUGAAAUUAAUUGGUGGAAAAUUAAAAUCAAGCUAUCAAAUUUAUGAUGUGUGUAAUUAAUAAGAUAAGAAUGAAUUUCUAGAUGAAAAUAAACUUUUUAGAUACACGUGAG
rnacentral:lncRNA from 10 species